AACGGGUGAGUAACGCGUGAGAAACCUGCCUUCAUCAGGGGGAUAACACUCCCAACGGGGUGCUAAUACCGCAUGAGACCACGGGAUCGCAUGAUCCUGAGGUCAAAGGUGGCCUCUAUUUAUAAGCUACCGGAUGAAGAUGGUCUCGCGUCCCAUUAGCUAGUUGGCGGGGUAAUGGCCCACCAAGGCGACGAUGGGUAGCUGGUCUGAGAGGAUGGUCAGCCACACUGGGACUGAAGAUACGGCCAGACUCCUACGGGAGGCUAGCAGUCGAGAGGCUUCGGCUGAUGGGGGAAACCCUGACCGAGCGACGCCGCGUGGGGGAUGAAGGCCCUUGGGUUGUAAACCCCUUUUAUUCGGGAAGAAAUGUGAUCAGGUGAACAAUCUGGUCACUUGACGGUACCGGAUGAAUAAAGCUCCGGCUAACUCCGUGCCAGCAGCCGCGG
rnacentral:rRNA from 1 species